GCUCUCGGGUGACGAGCGGCGGACGGGUGAGUAAUGUCUGGGAAACUGCCUGAUGGAGGGGGAUAACUACUGGAAACGGUAGCUAAUACCGCAUAACGUCGCAAGACCAAAGUGGGGGACCUUCGGGCCUCAUGCCAUCAGAUGUGCCCAGAUGGGAUUAGCUAGUAGGUGGGGUAACGGCUCACCUAGGCGACGAUCCCUAGCUGGUCUGAGAGGAUGACCAGCCACACUGGAACUGAGACACGGUCCAGACUCCUACGGGAGGCAGCAGUGGGGAAUAUUGCACAAUGGGCGCAAGCCUGAUGCAGCCAUGCCGCGUGUGUGAAGAAGGCCUUCGGGUUGUAAAGCACUUUCAGCGGGGAGGAAGGCGGUGAGGUUAAUAACCUCAUCGAUUGACGUUACCCGCAGAAGAAGCACCGGCUAACUCCGUGCCAGCAGCCGCGGUAAUACGGAGGGUGCAAGCGUUAAUCGGAAUUACUGGGCGUAAAGCGCACGCAGGCGGUCUGUCAAGUCGGAUGUGAAAUCCCCGGGCUCAACCUGGGAACUGCAUUCGAAACUGGCAGGCUAGAGUCUUGUAGAGGGGGGUAGAAUUCCAGGUGUAGCGGUGAAAUGCGUAGAGAUCUGGAGGAAUACCGGUGGCGAAGGCGGCCCCCUGGACAAAGACUGACGCUCAGGUGCGAAAGCGUGGGGAGCAAACAGGAUUAGAUACCCUGGUAGUCCACGCUGUAAACGAUGUCGAUUUGGAGGUUGUGCCCUUGAGGCGUGGCUUCCGGAGCUAACGCGUUAAAUCGACCGCCUGGGGAGUACGGCCGCAAGGUUAAAACUCAAAUGAAUUGACGGGGGCCCGCACAAGCGGUGGAGCAUGUGGUUUAAUUCGAUGCAACGCGAAGAACCUUACCUGGUCUUGACAUCCACAGAACUUUCCAGAGAUGCAUUGGUGCCUUCGGGAACUGUGAGACAGGUGCUGCAUGGCUGUCGUCAGCUCGUGUUGUGAAAUGUUGGGUUAAGUCCCGCAACGAGCGCAACCCUUAUCCUUUGUUGCCAGCGGUUAGGCCGGGAACUCAAAGGAGACUGCCAGUGAUAAACUGGAAGAAAGGUGGGGGAUGACGUCAAGUCAUCAU
rnacentral:rRNA from 1 species